rnacentral:rRNA from 1 species
GACGAGGGAUCCUAGCGUUGUUCGGAAUUAUUGGGCGUAAAGCGGGGGCAGGUGGCUCUGUAAGUCAGAUGUGAAAGCCCAGGGCUUAACCCUGGAAGUGCAUUUGAAACUGCGGAGCUUGAGUGCCGGAGAGAUUAGUGGAAUACCUGGUGUAGUGGUGAAAUACGUAGAUAUCAGGUGGAACACCGGAGGCGAAGGCGGCUAAUUGGCCGGACACUGACACUCAUCCCCGAAAGCGUGGGUAGCAAAC